rnacentral:lncRNA from 1 species
UGACAUAGUGCUGCCACUCUGUGGUGUUAUGUGGUACUGCAGUUUUGGGGAGAAGGAAGGGGAGGAGAGUGAAAGUGAAAGAUAAAUUACAAUUGAGCAGAAAACAAACACCCAACUGAGUGGAAAACGUGGUUACAAUUUCAAAAUCCAUUUAUCAUCUCUUUUCAACAACUAAGAUCCCUUGAAGCUGUCCUCAGACAACCAUCACCUCUGGAUGUUCUACCACCACCAGACCUGCAGUAAUUCAGCUGAGUGUUUUUACAGGAGUUCAUCGUUGGUGCUGUUGUGGGGAAAUGACAUAGGCCUCUCCCUCUCCAGCACACAACUAAGAUCUGCAGCUUCUAGUGAACCGUCUAAGAGGAAGACAAUUAACAAAGUCAGAUAUGGCAACUGCUGGAAACAGACGUAGCAAGGAUGUUGACCAUGAUAGUAAGUAAUAUUUAUUAACUUUAUGAAGCUUCCAACCCACAUGAAAAAUAAUACCGUUUCUGUAGAAUACGUUAGUACUUACUAUAUAUAGAAUUCUAUAGUAUUCUGCAGUAAACUGUAGUAUACUAUACUACACUCUGUACUAUCCCACUAUCAUGUAGCACUUACUAUUUUUUUUAAAAUGUAUACUGUAGAAUACUGUACUACACACGGCAUUCAAAUGCUAAUACCACAUUUGCAUAUGUCCAUUCCCCUCCCCCAUAUCCCAAUUUGUGUGGCCCGUCAGUUACCUACCAGUUAUAGAAAAGAGCAAUGGUGUAGAUCCUAGCUGAUCAUACCCCAGUCCUGCCUACAUACAGGUCAUUGACAAUCUGCUGACAUUCCAUUUCUCAAAUGCCUCAAGGCUUGAAAAUCCUUCUUUAACUGAUCUCCACCCCUUCAUCUACACUGACAGAAGUGGAUUUAACAAGUGGCAUCAAUAGGGGAUCAUAGCUUUCACCUGGUCAGUCUGUGUCAUGGAAAGCAGGUGUUGAAAAUCAAUCAAUCAAAAUGUAUUUUUAGUAAAGCCCUUCGUAUAUCAGCUGAUAUCUCAAAGUGCGGUACAGAAACCCAGCCUAAAACCCCAAACAGCAAGCAAUGCAGGUGUAGAAGCACGGUGGCUAGGAAAAACUCCCUAGAAAGGCCAAAACCUAGGAAGAAACCUAGAGUGGAACCAGGCUAUGAGGGGUGGCCAGUCCUCUUCUGGCUGUGCCGGGUGGAGAUUAUAACAG